CGUAUACUCCCUCCCUCCGAAAAUACUUGUCCUCGAAAUGAUUGUAUCUAAACUUAUUUUAGUUAUAGAUACAUUCAUUUUAUCCAUUUUAAGGACAAGUAUUUCCGGACGGAGGGAGUACUUC
rnacentral:pre_miRNA from 1 species